UUGUGAUGUGAAUGAUUCAU
rnacentral:miRNA from 1 species